CCUGAUGUUAGAGGUUUGGAUGAGUGGAUUUGAGAAUGGCUGCAGUGUGUGUUUUUCUACUCAAGUGUCCUCUCGACCGGACGCCGCCCGAGGACACAGAGGAGGAGUGUGACUGUGGUGACGGAAUUCCUGGACCACCCGGACCACCAGGACCAGCUGGUCCACCCGGACCUCCUGGGCUGAAGGGGGAGAUAGGACAGGAUGGACUCCCAGGCCCUGACGGUAAGCCUGGCAUGAAAGGUGAGCAAGGAGUGACGGGGGAGCCAGGUAAAUCAGGGGAGAAGGUGAGAUUUCUAGACCAUGACUUUUUUUUACUUUUUUUUCUCUUGUUAAUUUAAGAUGUGUGGAUGAGUGUGCUUCGCACUAAAUCGUUAUAUUAUAUUCUUUAUCAUCCAAACAGGGGGAAUCUGGUUUACUUGGACCCAAGGGUGAUGCAGGAAUAAGGGGCUACAAGGUAGGUCAAAACUAGAUGGGGUAUAGGCACUCAGUAUAGUAGAUUUUAGUGUUAAA
rnacentral:lncRNA from 1 species